AUGGGAUGUAAUGUGGGAUGUAAUGGGAUGUAUGGGAUGUAAUGGGAUGAAAUGGUAUGUAAUGGGAUGUAAUGUGAUGUAAUGGGAUGUAAUGGGAUGUAUGGGAUGUAAUGGGAUGUAAUGGGAUGUAAUGGGAUGUAUGGGAUGUAAUGGGAUGUAAUGGGAUGAAAUGGGAUGUAUGGGAUGUAAUGGGAUGUAUGGGAUGUAAUGGGAUGCACCCUAUUCCCAAUGCAGUGCACUACUUUUAGCUAGAGCCCUAUGGGGCCAUUUGGGACACAUUAUAAGUAAAAAGGGAAAAUGAAGAGUCUAUAGUACAGAACGAUAAAGUACUUUUCCAUAUGAAGUCCUUGUUAUGUGAUACAUUAAUCCAUGUUUGUUUACUUUGUUUGUAAUAUUGCUCACUUACUAAUUACCGGUAUGUGUUCUGGUGUUCAGUUAGCACCAUAGCAAAACAUGUGAUCAUGUGACCUAGAGGGACAGGAAGUAGGAAGCAGAAUCUGUGUUGAGGGACCAAUCACUGAUCAGGUUUGCUGUCGCUGUGGUAACAUAGAAGUGAGUGUGUGUGUGUGUGAUUCUCAGAUCAGAGACUUUGCAAGACAGUAUUUUAGUAUUUUAGGUGAUAAAUCAAAUGAAGGUAAAUCAUUUGGGUUUGGGCCAUAGAGAUGUAUUAGAGAGAUCAUCUUAUAGCUUUCCAAUGGCCACUUCUGGGACAGCAAAUACAUCCUCUAAAACAUGUCGUACCACCCUGUACCAACCUGUACCACCCAUGUACCACCCAUUUCCUACAGUUUGUGGUGUUGUUGGUUCCAGAUCCAUGCAACAAUAUCAUCAUCAAUAAUAACAUAUAUCAAGUUUCACUAUACAUCUCUGGUAUGAAAUAAAGACUUUCAGAGGAGACAGAGACAGAGACAGAGACAGAGACAGAGAGAGAGAGAGAGAGAGAGAGAGAGAGACAGAGACAGAGAGAGAGAGAGAGACAGAGAGAGAGAGACAGAGACAGAGACAGAGAGAGAGAGAGAGACAGAGACAGAGACAGAGACAGAGACAGAGACAGAGACAGAGACAGAGACAGAGACAGAGAGACAGAGACAGAGAGACAGAGA
ensembl:lncRNA